UACGUAGGUGGCAAGCGUUGUCCGGAAUUACUGGGCGUAAAGGGCUCGUAGGCGGCCAACUAAGUCAGACGUGAAAUCCCCAGGCUUAACCUGGGAACUGCGUCUGAUACUGGAUGGCUUGAAUUCGGGAGAGGGAUGCAGAAUUCCAGGUAUAGCGGUGAAAUGCGUAGAUAUCUGGAGGAAUACCGGUGGCGAAGGCGGCAUCCUGGACCGACAUUGACGCUGAGGAGCGAAAGCUAGGGGAGCAAACGGG
rnacentral:rRNA from 1 species